rnacentral:misc_RNA from 1 species
GGGGAUGUUCUUGAAAACAAGAAAAAAUAAAGGUGUUAAUGUUACAGAAAGUGUGGGUGUUGGAAGCAAGUUGCUGUAUUGUGGGAGCCAAGAUGAUGAAUUCAGCUGUUGUAAUCCUAUAAUUCUCAUGGAAGAUGAAAAGGUAAUAUCAAGAAAGAAAAGGAAGAAAGUUAAGAUGCUAAAUGGUAUUGUGAUCUUGAAGGAACAAGCAUCGGGAAUUUGGAGACUAAAAAGAAAGAAUGUACUCUUUGCAGCUAAAGAGGAGGAACCAUCUGAAACAUGGGAGGACAGAAGCUUUAUGCAGGUCUAAUUUCCUGAGUUCUCACAUUCCUGAGGACAGGAAUGUGCUAAGGCGGAGGUAUUGUCGCUUAUAGGGGAAACAUAAGGAUAAAUAGACAAAGGAGGAAGUAGUAGUUGGAGAAGACUUGUUCAAUUAGUUGCUAGAAAUUGUUUGAGUAGUUAAUGGAAACUAGAAGUAGUUAAGAAAAGGUGGGAAAACUUUCACUAGAGCUGCAGCAGUUGUAGUUGUCAAGAAGAAGUUGUAGCUGUGUAAAGGAGCUAGAAGCUCUAUUGUGGAUUCAUUCCAGAAUCAUUAACGAAAUUUCAGUCUUAUUCUCUCUAAUUUCUCUCAAUCUAUUUCUCUCAUUCUCUUCUUUUCUUUACUCUCUCCGUUCAUUCCUGUUCUUCACUUUCUUAUUUUGCAAUAUCAGAUCCGUUAGUUUUCUAACAAAACAUAAUAACUAACAUUUUGCUUUUUGUCUGGCAAUGUAUAUACCACAUACCAGACAACUAAAUUGGGCUCAGCUGAUUCUUGAACUUGAAUUUAUUAAACUAAUAUGUACUUGUCCUGUCUUUGAAGUUUAAAUCAGUGUUAUUAAAUAUCCUUCGUAUUGUGUUCUGUUGAAUAUUUUAAAAACUUUUACAUGCUUAGUUUGCAUAUAAAUGGCUGCACCUUCAUGGUGUUGUCUAUUCUGAGUGUGGCGGCGACAAGAGGAAUCUGACAAAAUGUAAGUGGAAGUGGUGACAACAGAAAAUGUAAGUGGAAUUGGUGACAACAGAUGGUUAAUAAUUCCUAUGAAAAAUUUGAAGCCAAAGAGAUGAAGUAAGAUUCUUUACUGGACUCCUCUUUGCAGAAUUACAUAGGAAUUGAUUGAAUGCAACUAGAAGCAAUAAAUUUCCUUGCUAUCUUUAGAGAUUUGUAACGCUGAUGUGUGAGCUUGUCAAUCAUUGUAAAAAAUCUUACAGGUAUUAGAACAGUGUAUGGUUGAGCAUGCUGAUUUUCUUCUUGGUUAUGGGUGUUCUAAUUUUUGUUGAAAUGGACAGGUUACCAAUGACAGUUUUUCUAUUUAGGUAGGGUCUUGAUGAAUACGAGGUUUUCUUGUACAUGAUGCCAUGAUGUUUAAGACGAAUUAAAGCAAAACAACAUAAUUAGAAUCUCGCGUGAGUUUUACUGGAAGCUGGCAUUAAUCAUACAUGCUCAUGUACAUUAGCUCAAUUAUCAUGACUUUCUGUCCUGUUUGCAGCAGGGAGGUGAAACUUUAUUGGGGAAGUGAUAUGCUGGUACAUCAGUUUGUUUAAGAGGCAAUUGCUUGAUACUUGGUAGUUUAGAAAUAUAACAUGAGAGAUGUGCUUCAUUGCUGAUGAUUUGUGAGUAGCCAAUUUUGAUAUUAGAAGUUUUGUGGACAUGUAUACAUGUAGAAGAUGGAGCUAUAAAUGAUGAGUUAUAUAUCAUCUGCUGAAUGGGGAUACAGGAAGUAGGGCUGAGCACUAUUCGGUUCAAACCGAAUUAAUCGAACUGAACCGUCAUAUUUCGAUAUUUCGGUUCGGUUUUAGGAGUGGUUCAAUUCGGUUCGGUUUUAUUUUUUAAAAAAUUUCGGUUA